rnacentral:lncRNA from 1 species
GAGUGGCUAAUAAGUGGAAUGGACUAAUGGAGUGAAAGAGUAAAAUAGUUUUUUACUAGUACAAGUUAGCCCCAUAAAAUAUAAAUAGAAUACAACUGUACAAGUUACUGCACUAUCCGAUGUACUUGUGUUUAGUUAUGAAAUAAAAAGGUAGAGUCUGCAUUGCCACAAAAUUACUGUGCUGACCUCUGCUUCGUUUUUAAUCUGACUCCUCUCACAUGACUCACCUGCUACAACCAAGGUAACUGACAAAAUAAAAGCAAGGCAAACAUAUUAACAGAGAAAAUCAUUAUUUUGAUUUUGUAACUUAAGACAGUGAAACUAUAUUCCUUCUUCUUAUACCAGCAUUAUAUAUUUCUAUUUUAGGUAAAAAAGUAUUAUAUACUUUCAAUAGCUUUUGCAUACUGACCAAAGAAAUAUUAUCUGUCGGAAAAGCAUGUUUUUAUUAAUAUGUGUUUUUCAUUACUUAAAACUUUUAAUAUGUAUUAUAAUUUGAUUUAACUGGAACAUGAUU